rnacentral:rRNA from 1 species
CUACGGGAGGCAGCAGUGGGGAAUCUUGCGCAAUGGGCGAAAGCCUGACGCAGCAACGCCGCGUGGGGGAUGAAGGCUCUCGGGUUGUAAACCCCUUUCAGCAGGGACGAAUCAAGACGGUACCUGCAGAAGAAGCCCCGGCUAACUACGUGCCAGCAGCCGCGGUAACACGUAGGGGGCAAGCGUUGUCCGGAUUUAUUGGGCGUAAAGAGCUCGUAGGCGGCUCGGUAAGUCGGGUGUCAAAUCCCCAGGCUCAACCUGGGGCUGCACUCGAUACUGCUGUGGCUAGAGUCCGGUAGGGGAGCAUGGAAUUCCUGGUGUAGCGGUGGAAUGCGCAGAUAUCAGGAAGAACACCGAUGGCGAAGGCAGGUUUCUGGGCCAUAACUGACGCUGAGGAGCGAAAGCGUGGGGAGCAAACAGGAUUAGAAACCCGAGUAGUCC